CGGACAACUGGGGAUAAUACCCUAUAGACUAUGGAUGCUGGAAUGCUCUGUCGCCGAAAGGUCAGCCUCCGUAGGAUGGGUCUGCGGCCGAUUAGGUUGUUGUUGGGGUAACGGCCCAACAAGCCUGUAAUCGGUACGGGUUGUGGGAGCAAGAGCCCGGAGAUGGAUUCUGAGACACGAAUCCAGGCCCUACGGGGCGCAGCAGGCGCGAAAACUUUGCAAUGCGGGAAACCGUGACAAGGGAACUCUGAGUGCCCGUAAAAUCGGGCUGUCGAUCGGUUUAAAUAACCGGUGAAGAAAGGGCCGGGCAAGAACGGUGCCAGCCGCCGCGGUAACA
rnacentral:rRNA from 1 species